rnacentral:rRNA from 1 species
CAGCCGCCGCGGGAAUACGAAGGGGGCUAGCGUUGUUCGGAUUUACUGGGCGUAAAGCGCACGUAGGCGGACUUUUAAGUCAGGGGUGAAAUCCCGGGGCUCAACCCCGGAACUGCCUUUGAUACUGGAAGUCUUGAGUAUGGUAGAGGUGAGUGGAAUUCCGAGUGUAGAGGUGAAAUUCGUAGAUAUUCGGAGGAACACCAGUGGCGAAGGCGGCUCACUGGACCAUUACUGACGCUGAGGUGCGAAAGCGUGGGGAGCAAACAGGAUUAGAUACCCCUGUAGUCCCUGUCUCUUAUAA